rnacentral:misc_RNA from 1 species
UACGGGGGGUGCGAGCGUUAUUCGGAAUUACUGGGCGUAAAGAGCGCGUAGGCGGUCUUUUAAGUCAGGUGUGAAAGCCCGGGGCUCAACCCCGGAAGUGCAUUUGAAACUAAGGGACUUGAGUAUGGGAGAGGGAAGUGGAAUUCCUGGUGUAGCGGUGAAAUGCGUAGAUAUCAGGAGGAACAUCGGUGGCGAAGGCGACUUCCUGGACCAAUACUGACGCUGAGGCGCGAAGGCGUGGGGAGCAAACAGG